rnacentral:rRNA from 1 species
CCUACGGGAGGCAGCAGUGGGGGAUAUUGCACAAUGGGGGAAACCCUGAUGCAGCGACGCCGCGUGAGUGAAGAAGUAUUUCGGUAUGUAAAGCUCUAUCAGCAGGGAAGAAAAUGACAGUACCUGACCAAGAAGCCCCGGCUAACUACGUGCCAGCAGCCGCGGUAAUACGUAGGGGGCAAGCGUUAUCCGGAUUUACUGGGUGUAAAGGGAGCGUAGACGGUUAUGUAAGCGAUAUGUGAAAGCCUUAGGCUUAACCAAAGGAUUGCAUAACGAACUAUCUAGCUAGAGUACAGGAGAGGAAAGCGGAAUGCCUAGUGUAGCGGUGAAAUGCGUAGAUAUUAUGAAGAACACCAGUGGCGAAGGCGGCUUUCUGGACUGAAACUGACGCUGAGGCUCGAAAGCGUGGGGAGCGAACAGGAUUAGAUACCCGAGUAGUC